UACGUAGGGGGCAAGCGUUGUCCGGAAUCAUUGGGCGUAAAGGGCUCGUAGGCGGCCAACUAAGUCGGACGUGAAAUCCCCAGGCUCAACCUGGGAACUGCGUCCGAUACUGGAUGGCUUGAAUCCGGGAGAGGGAUGCAGAAUUCCAGGUGUAGCGGUGAAAUGCGUAGAUAUCUGGAGGAAUACCGGUGGCGAAGGCGGCAUCCUGGACCGGCAUUGACGCUGAGGAGCGAAAGCCAGGGGAGCAAACGGG
rnacentral:rRNA from 1 species